ACAUGGGGAGGCCCAGCCAGUCAAACCCAGAACAGCCCGGCUGAGCUCAGCCUAAUUCUGUGACUUUCAGGAUGAGUAACAAAAUAAAUGAUUCUUAUUUUAAGUCAAAAUUUUGGAGAGCAAUCUUCCUCUUGUCAAUGUCUAUCUCAGUGCUAUUUCAGACUCCUUUCGUACUGUCAAAUCUCACUCAACUUUUAGCAUCUAUUUCAAUUGGCAUCUCUUCCAAGAAGAUUUUUCUAAUUUCCUCAAGUGAUGUGUUAUCUCCCCUAUAAUUGAACCCCAUUUUGAUAUUUGUGUCCCUUUUUAGCUUUUUUUUUAACUUGUUUUCUAUUAGAGGUGUUAGUGUCCUACUCAUCUUGCUUUUCCUACAGCUAGUAAGUGGACAUCCAGGAGGUACAAGGAUAUAUCCCAGACCUGGCCAGUCAUGCUACCAUUUCCCAUAAUAAUCUCCUUAAGAAGUGAGCACCAGACCCAAGUCAUUCAGAUACUACCUGUAAGAUAUAGGCACUGAGGGAAAGAGUCUGGUUUUUCUUUUAGAUGAAGAGCUAUAAGAAUGGAAUCGAGACUAGGAGAGGAACAUCCAAAGGAGAGAAAAUGACUGCAGUGGGAGAGAACAAGAGCUACGAUCAAAAAGAGGAGAGACAAGCAGCACUGAGGAAGACAGAAGGGUAAGAAGAGAUGAUGUCAGAAGUGGGAUCCAAAGAAAAGCUUCCAGUGACCCCCAGGAGCACUGAGUGACCAAGCAAGGAUCUAAGCCCUCAAUAGAAUGACACCACUGUGUGGUCAAGAAUGGAGAAACCCAAGAAACUUAGCAUCCCAAUAUUGAGGUGUCUUCAGUAUCUAAAAAUUCUUUUACAUCCAUGCUUUAAAAGAACUUAAAGUCAUUUGAUAAUGAAAACAAUACUUCCAGUUUGGUGUCUAAUACUUUUACUUCCCAGCAGCAUAAUACCACUUUGGUCAGGUUGAACCACUGCACAAUUUUGCAGCUCUUUCAGAAAAAUAAUGAAAACAAUUGGAAAGACAUGAUGUACAUGCAAAUGGUGAGAAAAUGAUACUAUUGUCCAAUCCUUUCCCGUAAAUGUAAAAUAUCCUUAGUUCAUCUCCAAACUGUGUAUUUAUUAUAAGCCCUUACAUCAGGGAUUUUGUUUCUUUCAGUUUUUGUAGCACCAAAUAGACACAGCGGCUAACAAGAAAUAAAUCUGAAAAGUCACUGAAAUAUUUAUCACAUGUCAGAAAUUUUCUGGUCUGUACCUUUAACCAUGUUCCUGGCUUCACAUAUUCUUCUUAAGAGUAAGCUAUAACAUAAGAUUGAGUUCCCACCCUGUGUUUGCUACUGAUGUGAUUUGUUUACCAUGAAUAAUACUUUGUUAAUAUCUUUUGUAUAUUACUUUACAAUUUCCAAGUAUUUUAUAUACAGUGACUCACUUAGUGACUCAUUCAUUUUAAUGUAAUGGUGUCCCCCAAACCACAGAUAAUGAUUAGACACAUGAACUCUUGUGUCAGAUUGCAUGGGUUCAAAUCCCAGUUCCACCUGCUAGCUGUGUGACCUUGGACAAGUCACAUAAUAUAUCUGUGCUUCAGUUUUUGUAUCUAUAAAAUGGAACCUACUGAAUAGAGUUGUUGAAGGGAUUUGGUGAGAUAGUCCAUAAAAGCACUCAGCACAGUGGCUAGAAAAUAGAGCUGCAUAAAUGUUAGUUAUGAAUAAAUUACUUACCUACCUCACUGGGGUAUAACCGUGGUUUAUAGAUAAACUAAGCAGCAUUUUUGAGCAGUGGUUUUAGAAAAGCAAGCUCACACAAAUCUGUGCAGGGAGUAUUUCAUGACUUCCAUGGGGUGAGGAAUUUUAUUUUUUCUAUCAGGUGUGAAGAGGACCCAAUGGACAGUAAACUCUCUAGUUAUUGCUAGAGUAAAUGUUGGAGAGUUUCUCACAGUAACCUCCAAGAGGGAUUGUGUCUGUCUUGUUUGCUGUUGCAUUUCCAGAACCUAGCAUGCACUAGGUACACAAUAAGUAUUUGUUAAAUGAAUAAACACAUGGAAACAUCUGAGUAAGUAUGUGAUUAAACUUCAGCUUAGUGUAUUCCAGGAAUCAAAUAUGAAAGGAUAAAUGAUCUUUUGAAAAUAGGAAGAGAUUUAGGGAUGGUGUCUCCAAUUAUUAUGAAUUUCUUAGAGAAUGGUUGUUAAUAAAUAUCAAAGGGGAUAAUAUGCCUGAUGAUCUUUUUAUAUAAAAAUGAAAAUAUCUUUUAUAAAAUUUAAAAAUGGGGUUUUAUGUUUGAAUCAUUCCUGCCAGAUAAUUCAGGAAGCUUGUAUAAAGAACUAGAAAGGUUGAGUUCAACUCAGCAUAAAAACUCUGUAUCCCCAAACAUUGUUCCUUAUCCACUGUUCAAAUGUCCUCAAAUCUUUGAAGCCUUUAAAGUAAUUAAUGAAAUUUCAAAUUCAUACAUCUAAAAAGUUUUUAUAUAGACUCAAAAUAUGGUUCUAACCAUGAAACUUAGAAAUCAUAGUGACAAUCAGUAUAAUAUAAGCUGGUAAAAUUUGUGAGAUUUUCAGAAGGCAAAAUCCAUGUUUUUUGUCUAUUCACUGAUUCAGCCACUUAUUCAUCCAACAAAUACCGAGUGCCUACAUUGUGCCAGGCAGUGGUCAAGGCAGUCACAGCCCUUUCUCUAUAGUUUUCCAGCUAGAGAGGGAUGAGAUGGGUUGGACCACCCCAUAUUUUGGAAGAUCUUUUUCUAUGUUGGCCUCCCUGAAUCUUCAGAGCAUUGAGUUCUAAGUUGUCUAAAGCUGGUCUUAUGAACAGGCUGUGUCUGUAUGAUAAAAACAAACUAGUUAAAAGAUGAGAAAUUUAGGCAUUAUUCACACAUCCACACAUAUCUAUAGAUGUUUAAAAUAAUGUAGACAAAAUAUUCCACCUCUUGGGGUCCUACGGGCACAGUUGAGUAACAUGAAAUGAGAUAAGAUCAGUUUGAUGUCACAGUUGAAAACUGCAUUUGUAAAUCUGUGUAAUCCAUCUCGAGCCAAGUUCUUUGGAGACAGUCUAAAAUCCUUAAAAAGCCUCUGCAUGCUAGAUUUUGCAUUUAGAUCUAAGUAUUGUCUUAAAAGACUGUGAUUGUUCACAUAACUGGAGAAUUCCCUAUUGACUACAUGAUUGAGGAAACACAAAAGUCUGUUAUUCUUUCCAAAGUCAAUUGUAACUUAAGCUCAUUAUCUCCCUGCAGAUGUUCUAUUUCAAAUGACAACAGAAUCAAAAUGUAAAUGCUCCAGUGAAAAGGCUUGGAAACUCUUUUACUGAACUGUGCUCUAUGUAUUUGCCUUCAAAAUCAUAGCAGGAAAAAGUUUAGAAAAAUCUAUCCCACCGGCCACUGACCUAAAAAAGGGAAAAAAUUAAAUUUCACCAGGAUUUCUGGUGAUAUCGUAGAAGUUUUUUAAAUUAUAACGUUUAAUACCUAAUUUGUUUAUUACAUUGAAUUGAGCUUCAUGUCAGAGCAAUGCAGGUUUUUAUUUUAAUAUAAUUUGGGACAUGUCAGUGGCUCUAAUAUGAUCGUUAAUAAUGAAGAUAAUUAGUAUAAUACAAGUUGUGGUAAUUUCCUUCUUCUGGCUUCAGUGAAACUUAAGAGAACCACAGGUGGCUUAAGUCUUAGUGAUGGCUACCUCUGAUUAAAACUUUAGGAAAAGACUUACAUUUCAACCAACAAGAUUUUACUGAAGGAAAAUGGUCAUUUGUAUAUGAGACCACUCUGACGUAUAAUCCAUCCUUAGAUGUCCUAGGUGUGAUGGAUUGCUUCUUUACUUUGACAAACAAUCUGGUAUGCCUUUAUCAGCACUUAACAUUAACCAAAUGAAGCAUAAAUACAAAGGUUUCUAGAAAACACAAAUGUAAACUAUCUUACCAUUUGAUAGUUGUUUCUGUAACACUGUGACAAUAUUUGUAUUGAUGUGAAACCAUAUGAUAACUUUAAUUUUGACCAAACAUUUAUGACUAAGUGAAAACAUACUCACUCACCUUAAGCUCCAAAUUUAUACAAUGUAUUGAAAUGUGUUGAAAUGACCAUUUUCUCAUGACAAGGGUUCAGUGAUUUCCCUUCAUGAGAAUCCUGUGGCAUUGCCUGAAUAGCUUUAAUAUAUCUUUGUUAAAUGAUAACUAAAAUAUAUGUUUUAUUAAAUUUUUCUUAUAAAAAUGUGAACUAUCUCUUUCAAACUGAAUAAUACAUCGUCUCCAUUCAUUCCCUUUUAUCAUGCUUGUCCUUUUUGUAAAUCUAUUUUACAUAACAUACAGGGUCCUAACUGCCCCCACCUCACCACCCCCGUUCUCUCUAGUAAAAAAUGAUAUGUAUUCAAGGAUGGGAAUCUGUUAUCACAGGGGUGUAUUGUUGAAAUUAGCAAAUGUCCUAGUUUUCUUGCUGUUUUUCCUCUGGUGAGGGAUGCAUUGUGAAGAGCAGGGAAAACCUGGUAUUGACAAUACUAUCACCCAACAGGGCAUAAUAAAAUGUGCUGGGUAGUUUUGAUUGGUUUUGUUUUAUUUUCAAGAAGACAGUCUAAACUGAGCUUCAUACAUUUCUAUUUUGGGGGAUUAUCUGAAGUGUCAAAUUGUAUUGUAUCUUGGGGAAUCAAUUUCUGUAUUUGAGAAAAGGGAACAUUCAAAUAUUUGCCUGUGGUUUACUGAUCUAUUUUGAAUACUUCAACUAAGCAAUUAUUCUUUUCUUAGGUUCAUUUAUGUGCUUAAGGUAUUCAAAUGCCCAAACAAUUAUUGCUUCCUAUUUAUUUCAUAAAGUAAAAUCAGACUUAGGUGCCUAGAUUUACCAUAAACCAAAAAUUAUGACCUGUAAAUGUAGUUAUAACAGAUUAUUUUCCAGUGAAUGAUAUUUUCUGAAAAAUGAUAUCUCAUUGUCUAUUUACCUAUGGGAAUAUAUUAAAGUUGGUGAUUUUAUUUUAUUUUUCUAGAGGAAGCAGCAUCUGCCAUUCACAAUAUUGAUAUCACUGGUUUCCACCUGCCCAAUUAUAAGAGAAAUAAUACUUGUUUAUCUGAGAGUGCCAAAAAUAUCUGGUUUAUAUUUGGGGAAAUUGACCUAAACUUUGUGUGACACAAAUAUUUGAAUAUAUAUGCACAUAUAAUUUAGUUUUGCUAAGCUUUAAAAUAUGAAAUAGGCUUCUAUGACAGCACAUCAGUGUGAGUAGAGUUUAGAUUUCUUCAGUGUUUAUCAAUCAAAAAGUAUAAAACUCAAAAAAUAUUGAGAGUGGGUUUAUGUAUAUAACAUACGAGAAUCUGUUCACAGGGCUAGGUCCUUUGCUAGUAUUCUCUUACUAGAUUCUUAAUACUUGGUAAGAAAAGAACCUAAGUUGUAA
rnacentral:lncRNA from 10 species